UAGAUGAUAAAUAGAGAGGCUAUGUGUAAUUUCGGCUUACAAAGGGUAAUCAUUUUU
rnacentral:tRNA from 1 species